AGAGUUUGAUCAUGGCUCAGAUUGAACGCUGGCGGCAGGCCUAACACAUGCAAGUCGAGCGGUAGCACAGGAGAGCUUGCUCUCUGGGUGACGAGCGGCGGACGGGUGAGUAAUGUCUGGGAAACUGCCUGAUGGAGGGGGAUAACUACUGGAAACGGUAGCUAAUACCGCAUAACGUCUUCGGACCAAAGUGGGGGACCUUCGGGCCUCACGCCAUCAGAUGUGCCCAGAUGGGAUUAGCUAGUAGGUGGGGUAAUGGCUCACCUAGGCGACGAUCCCUAGCUGGUCUGAGAGGAUGACCAGCCACACUGGAACUGAGACACGGUCCAGACUCCUACGGGAGGCAGCAGUGGGGAAUAUUGCACAAUGGGCGCAAGCCUGAUGCGGCCAUGCCGCGUGUGUGAAGAAGGCCUUCGGGUUGUAAAGCACUUUCAGCGAGGAGGAAGGGUAGUGUGUUAAUAGCACAUUGCAUUGACGUUACUCGCAGAAGAAGCACCGGCUAACUCCGUGCCAGCAGCCGCGGUAAUACGGAGGGUGCAAGCGUUAAUCGGAAUUACUGGGCGUAAAGCGCACGCAGGCGGUUUGUUAAGUCAGAUGUGAAAUCCCCGCGCUUAACGUGGGAACUGCAUUUGAAACUGGCAAGCUAGAGUCUUGUAGAGGGGGGUAGAAUUCCAGGUGUAGCGGUGAAAUGCGUAGAGAUCUGGAGGAAUACCAGUGGCGAAGGCGGCCCCCUGGACAAAGACUGACGCUCAGGUGCGAAAGCGUGGGGAGCAAACAGGAUUAGAUACCCCGGUAGU
rnacentral:rRNA from 1 species